rnacentral:rRNA from 1 species
UACAGAGGUCUCAAGCGUUGUUCGGAUUCAUUGGGCGUAAAGGGUGCGUAGGCGGCGCGGUAAGUCGGGUGUGAAAUCUCGGAGCUUAACUCCGAAACUGCAUUCGAUACUGCCGUGCUUGAGGACUGGAGAGGAGACUGGAAUUUACGGUGUAGCGGUGAAAUGCGUAGAUAUCGUAAGGAAGACCAGUGGCGAAGGCGGGUCUCUGGACAGUUCCUGACGCUGAAGCACGAA